CAGCCAUCUCUCGCUCUCGCUCUCCCUCACUGCUUCCCCCGUUGUACCUCGAUAGAAGCGCACACACACGCUCCCCUGACCACUCCUCCUCAUCUCCACUUCCCAUAGAAACGCAUACACCCAUUUUUCUGCACACGCGCUUAGAUCUUCUUCAGACUCCUCUCUCCCCUCGAGCCUGUGCGAUCCACGGCUCAUCAUCAUGCCGUCCACCGAAGCCAACCUGCAGCCUGCCGCGAAGCGUCCGCGUGAGGAGGAUGUGGAGGCGGAAGUCGCUUGUACGCCGACCGAUGGCGCGGCCACCGAUGCUGCCAAGACGGAGAAUCUCGUCAUGAAACCGCUUGCGGCUGGCGCCGAGGUACUGACGGCGGACAAGGUUGCCGAGGGGACGAAUGCCGAGGAGGAGCCGCUGCAGCAGGAGAACCCAUUCCGCUACGUCCUCUUCCCAAUCCAGUACCAUGACAUCUGGCGCAAGUACAAGGAGCAGGAGAGCUGCAUCUGGACGGUGGAGGAGAUCGACCUGGGCAACGACAUGAAGGACUGGGCAACGCUGAACGACGGGGAGCGGCACUUCAUCAAGCACGUGCUUGCCUUCUUCGCCGGCAGCGACGGCAUAGUCAUCGAGAAUCUUGCGCAGCGCUUCAUGAGCGACGUGAAGGUGCCAGAGGCGCGCGCGUUCUACGGGUUCCAGCUGAUGAUGGAGAACAUCCACUCGGAGACGUACUCUGUGCUGCUGGACACGUACAUCACGGACAGCGAGGAGAAGCUGCGACUGUUGCACGCAAUACAGACGAUCCCGUGCAUCCAAAAGAAGGCGGAGUGGGCUGUGCGGUGGAUCGGGAGCAGCGCGAGCUUUCAGGAGCGGCUGAUCGGCUUUGCCGCGGUGGAGGGCAUUUUCUUUUCCGGGUCGUUCUGCGCGCUGUUCUGGCUGAAGAAGCGCGGUCUGAUGCCGGGGCUGACGUUCAGCAACGAGCUCAUCUCGCGCGACGAGGGCCUACACACGGACUUCGCAUGCCUGCUGUACAACUCGCACAUCAAGCACAAGCUGCCGCGCGAGCGCGUGCUGGAGAUCAUCGUGGAUGCGGUGAACAUCGAGCGCGAGUUCAUCUGCGACGCGCUGCCGGUGCGGCUGAUUGGCAUGAACGCGGAGCUGAUGGCGCAGUACAUCGAGUUCGUCGCGGACCGGCUGCUGGUGUCGCUCGGCGAGGAGAAGCACUACCGCUCGACGCAGCCGUUCGACUUCAUGGAGAUGAUCUCGCUGCAGGGCAAAACGAACUUCUUCGAGAAGAGGGUGGGGGAGUACCAGAAGGCCGGCGUGAUGAGCACGGAGGGCACGUCGAAGAAGUUCUCCCUCUCGGAGGACUUCUAAACAGGAGCGCUGCCUGACCUCUGGCCGCCGGGUUAUCCGAUGCUGCGCGUUUUGCGCACGCGUUGCCGGUGUGUUUGGGGUAGGGGAGGGAGGGAAGAUGAGGAGAAGCAGCAGCACCCCGUAGCCGCGCACAUUCAUCCGUGAAUCCAUGAGGCACUGCAGAUGGGGGACACGAACACCACCACUGUGCGAUGUCACUCUGCAGGUGCGUAUGUGUUGGUGCCCCAGGGCUGGCCCGACGCUGAUCUAGCCCUCCCCCUCUACACCUCGACUCUAUUCGUGGGCGAGUGCCUCUCGCCCCCCCCCCCCCGAGAAGCCCUCUAUACAGGCCAUAGGAAUGCGGCGAGCACACAAGCGGGGUGAUACCCGUCUCGGAAGACAAGAGGAAAGCACGCAACAGCAAAAUAACGCGAACACGAAAACAUCGACAAGGGAGGCGCUGGCUGCUCCGAGAGAUGGCGAGGUUUGUUGUGCGUUCGUGUGCUCUCGUGUGUGUGUGUGCCUGCGUAAGACGUGGUUGAUUGCUUCUGCUUGCUUUAUGGCAGCCGUGUUGCGUUCCCGUCUCUCCAUCCCGGUGCAGGUGAGUGCUGGGCGCCUUCAACUGAUGCUGCUCUACCUCGUCGAGUCUCUCUUGCUCUUCAUUUCAUGUGUCUCUUCCAUCUCUUGGGAUCGCGUACUCUCAUCUCCGAAAG
rnacentral:misc_RNA from 1 species